CCUACGGCGGCUGCAGUGGGGAAUAUUGGACAAUGGGCGAAAGCCUGAUCCAGCCAUGCCGCGUGUGUGAAGAAGGCCUUCGGGUUGUAAAGCACUUUCAGUGGGGGAGAAAGCCUUGGGGCUAAUACCCUCGAGGAAGGACAUCACCCACAGAAGAAGCACCGGCUAACUCCGUGCCAGCAGCCGCGGUAAUACGGAGGGUGCGAGCGUUAAUCGGAAUUACUGGGCGUAAAGCGCGCGUAGGCGGUCUGAUAAGCCGGUUGUGAAAGCCCCGGGCUCAACCUGGGAACGGCAUCCGGAACUGUCAGGCUAGAGUGCAGGAGAGGAAGGUAGAAUUCCCGGUGUAGCGGUGAAAUGCGUAGAGAUCGGGAGGAAUACCAGUGGCGAAGGCGGCCUUCUGGACUGACACUGACGCUGAGGUGCGAAAGCGUGGGUAGCAAACAGGAUUAGAUACCCCAGUAGUC
rnacentral:rRNA from 1 species